GUGACGUCAGCACCGCGGGGCGGUGACUGUGGUGUCUACCCUCAGGCUCCGCGUGUGACCUCGCUGGCGGCGGGGUUCCUAGGGAGCCCAAGUCUCCGCCGCCUCCCUCUGUCCCCAGGUGUCAGCCCACAGUUGUCCGGAGCGGCGAUGGCCGACGACCUCGGAGACGAGUGGUGGGAGAACCAGCCGUCUGGAGCCGCCAGGAGCCCAGGUGUCUCUUGGCUCUGUUGAUCAUGGAAAGGUGUCAAAGUAAGGCCUGAGCUAGACUUUCCAGUGUGGGUCAGAUUUCCCUUUGAUGAGAGGUGAGAAUCCUCUCCAUGUAUAGCAAUUGUGGGGGGGUGGCGGGUAGUAGUGAAUAAUGUUGCAUAAAGGGUUGGUUUCUCCCUUCUAUUGUUACAUCACUGCCCAAAAGCCUUCUGUGAGGACAUAGAGCCCUCCUUGGGUCUGUAUUCAGGGUUCUUCAUAGUUCAACAGGACUAUGCUCUUCUAAUUUUACCCCCACCUGACUCUCAAUUUCAGCCACCCUGAACUGCUCACUGCUUGCUGCUCUUUGAUUCUUGAACAUUGAUUGUCCGCUCUCCUGUCUACCCCUAAACCUCUACUCUUCUGGACACUCUGGAAAACCAUUUGUCCUCUACCCUGGUCUUCCUCAUCCCCAGCCACUGCUUAAUCUCUUCUGUUUCUGAGGUGAGGAUAGCAACCUGCUCCUCCUCUUAACUCUUUCAGUACUUACUGUUUAUAUAAUUCCUUCUUAAUUACUUUUCCAGGUGGUCCUCAACUUAGAUUCUAAAUCUUAAGCCUGCAUAGCUUCCUCACACAGCUUUGAGCAAUAUUGGUGCCUCAUAAAUAUUAUUGGUUCAUUCUUAUAGGUGAUUUGUUGAGUGAUGAAGAAAGCUUGUAAUGCAAAGAUGCUUAUGCCUGUGGUGAUCCUAAGCUAAUACAGAGGGAAUUGAAACUCCUCAGAGAAGACUCUUUAGAAAGGUCUAAACAGUAGCAGGAGUUAUCUCAAAUUCUUUUGAGUCCUCCUAAAAUCCAUUUUUUCCCAAUAAAGCAAAAGUAAUUUGUUGUCUAGACCUUGCUUUCUCUCAAAGGCAGGUGAGAAGUGUAAAACUCCUCUGAAAAUUCCAGUUUAUAAUGAGGUAUCUUUGAAGAAGACAAAGGUAGCAUGUUAUAAACAAGGUAUUAAUACAACUAUAAAUAUUCAAAUAUGCACAUGCUUUGGGGCU
rnacentral:lncRNA from 1 species